UACGUAGGGCGCGAGCGUUGUCCGGAUUUAUUGGGCGUAAAGAGCUCGUAGGCGGCUUGUUACGUCGACUGUGAAAACCCGCGGCUCAACCUCGGGUCUGCAGUCGAUACGAGCAAACUAGAGUGUUGCAGGGGAGACUGGAAUUCCUGGUGUAGCGGUGAAAUGCGCAGAUAUCAGGAGGAACACCUACGGCGAAGGCAGCUCGCUGGGACGGUACUGACGCUGAGACGCGAAAGCGUGGGGAGCAAACAGG
rnacentral:rRNA from 1 species